rnacentral:rRNA from 1 species
AUGGAUGAACAAUAUUCAAAUUCUGGUAGCUGCGGGGCGGAUGCAGAGGGAUCUCAUAGUGCUAACGCACCAGCCGGUCAGCAAGGUCUGCAUGCUGCUUUGGAUGAGUCAUCUUCUAGUGCUAGAAGUGGAGAUCCACCCGCCCCAACAUCACGAAUAUCUCUCAAGCAUGUUGUCAGUGUCAUUCAGACUUUCAGCGACUACAAGAAAUGGCUUGUGGAAGAGAUUGGUUUUGGAGGUGUGCUCAAGCUCCCUGAUAUUCAGAAGUUAAAUCUGAGAUGCAGUGCCUGGAUUAUGAGUAGGGUCAGUGUUAGCCGUAGAGAGAUAAGGCUGUCUGAGAGUAAGGUGCUCAAGUUCUAUGUUGAGGAUGUCUACAAGGUGUUUGGGAUCCCUUGUGGUAACCGUAGCGUCAAAGGGAGGGAUGCAAAUAUCAAUCCAUAA